rnacentral:SRP_RNA from 1 species
GCUGGGUGUGGUGGCGCAUGCCUGUAGUCCCAAUUACUCGGGAGGCGGAGGCUAGAGGAUCACUUGAGCCCAGGAGUUCUGGGCUGUAGUGCGCUAUGCUGACCAGAUGUCCACACUAACUUUGGCAUCAAUAUGGUGACCUCCUGGGAGGGGGGACCACCGGGUUGCCUAAGGAGGGGUGAACUGGGCCAGGUCGGAAAAGGAGCAGGUCAAAACUCCUGUGCUGAUCAGUAGCGGGAUCAUGCCUGUGAACAGCCACUAAACUCCAGCCUGGCCAACAAGCAAGACCCUGUCUCU